rnacentral:rRNA from 1 species
CCCCUAGAUGUUCUGGGCCGCACGCGCGCUACACUGAACAGUUCAACAAGUCUUAACCUUGGCCGAUAGGUCUGGGUAAUCUUUGAACGCUGUUCGUGAUUGGGAUAGACCUUUGCAAUUAUGGGUCUUCAACGAGGAAUUCCUAGUAAACGCAAGUCAUCAGCUUGCAUUGAUUACGUCCCUGCCCUUUGUACACACCGCCCGUCGCACCUACCGAUUGAAUGGUCCGGUGAAAUCUCGGGACGGCGGCUUGGUCGCUUGCGUCCGACUGCUGAAACUUGAUUAAACCAUAUCAUUUAGAGGAAGGUGAAGCCGUANCA